rnacentral:lncRNA from 1 species
GGCAUAUUCUUGUUAUUCCCUAUCUAUAUUUGGGUCUACAUAUCUGUAUUUAUAAGUCCUUGUACGCACUCUUGAGUGAAUGAAAAAAAAUAAAAAUAAAUUUUUCCUUCUUCUUUUUCAUCAUGGUAUCAGAGCUCUCAGGUUCUGAUCCAGUUUUUCUUCCUUUUCCUUCUUAAAAACCCUUCUCUUCCCUCCGCCGCU